rnacentral:rRNA from 1 species
AUUGAACGCUGGCGGAAUGCUUUACACAUGCAAGUCGAACGGCAGCACGGACUUCGGUCUGGUGGCGAGUGGCGAACGGGUGAGUAAUGUAUCGGAACGUGCCCAGUCGUGGGGGAUAACGUAGUGAAAAUUACGCUAAUACCGCAUACGAUCUAUGGAUGAAAGCGGGGGAUCGCAAGACCUCGCGCGAUUGGAGCGGCCGAUAUCAGAUUAGGGAGUUGGUGGGGUAAAGGCCCACCAAGCCAACGAUCUGUAGCUGGUCUGAGAGGACGACCAGCCACCCUGGAACUGAGACACGGUCCAGACUCCUACGGGAGGCAGCAGUGGGGAAUUUUGGACAAUGGGCGAAAGCCUGAUCCAGCCAUUCCGCGUGCAGGAUGAAGGCCCUCGGGUUGUAAACUGCUUUUGUACAGAACGAAAAGGCUUCUACUAAUACUAGGAGCUCAUGACGGUACUGUAAGAAUAAGCACCGGCUAACUACGUGCCAGCCGCCGCCGUAA